UAAAACCCUGUUUGUCCCCAGGUGAGCGCUUGUUCCCGUGCAUCCAGAACAUGCACCCCAGUCUGGCUGGGAAGAUCACUGGCAUGCUGCUGGAGAUAGACAACUCUGAACUACUUCACAUGCUGGAGUCUCCCGAGUCUCUCCGCUCUAAGGUGGAUGAGGCUGUGGCUGUGCUGCAGGCCCACCAGGCCAAGGAAUUAGUCCAGAAGACUGUCCCCAACUCUGCUGGUGGUCCGAGUGUCUGAGCCCAGGGAUGGGGAACCUUGGAACUUCAUAUUUAAAAAACUGAUAAUUCUGAUGAAACUUUGGAAAAAGUUGACACCAAAACAAUGCAAAAAGAAAACCUGUUCUAAAAAGGCAAGUCUUCUUUCAGCCAGGCCAAGAGAAGAGCACACUGGCUUUGGAAAAAGUUUCAAAAUAAACAUUUAAAGUGUUUUAGAAGAGAAUUCCAUAUGAUGGAAUGAGGGCUUCCAGAAAGCGUUCCCUUCUGGUGUUUUAUUCCUUUUAGAUGUAUCAAUGUUUGGGGUGUACGUGGCCAGGAUGUUGAAUAACGCUGCGUUGUGAAAUGUACCUUUGUUUCCUUGAAUUAAACUUCUUAAACGAUU